rnacentral:rRNA from 1 species
UACGUAGGGGGCAAGCGUUGUCCGGAAUCAUUGGGCGUAAAGAGCGCGUAGGCGGCCCUGUAAGUCCGCUGUGAAAGUCAAGGGCUCAACCCUUGAAAGCCGGUGGAUACUGUGGGACUAGAGUACGGAAGAGGCGAGUGGAAUUCCUGGUGUAGCGGUGGAAUGCGCAGAUAUCAGGAGGAACACCAAUAGCGAAGGCAGCUCGCUGGGACGUUACUGACACUGAGGCGCGAAAGCGUGGGGAGCGAACAGG